GGGUGAGUAACACGUAAACAACCUGCCUUCAGGAUGGGGACAACAGACGGAAACGACUGCUAAUACCGAAUACGUUCCACGGGCCGCAUGACCUGUGGAAGAAAGGGUAGCCUCUACCUGUAAGCUAUCGCCUGAAGAGGGGUUUGCGUCUGAUUAGGCAGUUGGUGAGGUAACGGCUCACCAAACCAACGAUCAGUAGCCGGUCUGAGAGGAUGAACGGCCACACUGGAACUGAGACACGGUCCAGACUCCUACGGGAGGCAGCAGUGGGGAAUCUUCCGCAAUGGACGAAAGUCUGACGGAGCAACGCCGCGUGAGUGAAGACGGCCUUCGGGUUGUAAAG
rnacentral:rRNA from 1 species